rnacentral:rRNA from 1 species
UACGAAGGUGGCAAGCGUUACUCGGAAUUACUAGGCGUAAAGGGCAGGUAGGUGGUUUAGUAAGUCUAUUGUGUCAGCUCCCGGCUUAACUGGGAGAGGUCAACAGAAACUACUAGACUCGAGUAUAGGAGAGGUUACUGGAAUUCCCGGUGUAGCGGUGAAAUGCGCAGAUAUCGGGAGGAACACCAAUGGCGAAGGCAGGUAACUGGACUAUUACUGACACUCAGCUGCGAAAGCUAGGGGAGCAAACAGG